rnacentral:rRNA from 1 species
AUUGAACGCUGGCGGCAGGCCUAACACAUGCAAGUCGAGCGAGCGGCGGACGGGUGAGUAAUGUCUGGGAAACUGCCUGAUGGAGGGGGAUAACUACUGGAAACGGUAGCUAAUACCGCAUACCAUCAGAUGUGCCCAGAUGGGAUUAGCUAGUAGGUGGGGUAACGGCUCACCUAGGCGACGAUCCCUAGCUGGUCUGGGAGGAUGACCAUCCACACGGGAACUGGGACAGGGUCCAGACUCCUACGGGAGGCAGCAGUGUGGAAUGUUGCGCAAUGGGCGCGAGCCUGAUGCAGCGAUGCCGCGUGUGUGAAGAAGGCCUUCGGGUUGUAAAGCACUUUCAGCGGGGAGGCGUUACCCGCAGAAGAAGCACCGGCUAACUCCGUGCCAGCAGCCGCGGUAAUAC